GACGAACGCUGGCGGCGUGCUUAACACAUGCAAGUCGAACGAUGAAGCCUAGCUUGCUAGGUGGAUUAGUGGCGAACGGGUGAGUAAUACGUGAGUAACCUACCUUUAACUCUGGGAUAAGCCUGGGAAACUGGGUCUAAUACCGGAUACGACCAAUCUCCGCAUGGGGUGUUGGUGGAAAGCGUUAUGUAGUGGUUAUAGAUGGGCUCACGGCCUAUCAGCUUGUUGGUGAGGUAACGGCUCACCAAGGCGACGACGGGUAGCCGGCCUGAGAGGGUGACCGGCCACACUGGAACUGAGACACGGCCCAGACUCCUACGGGAGGCAGCAGUGGGGAAUAUUGCACAAUGGGCGCAAGCCUGAUGCAGCGACGCCGCGUGAGGGAUGACGGCCUUCGGGUUGUAAACCUCUGUUAGCAGGGAAGAAGAGAGAUUGACGGUACCUGCAGAGAAAGCGCCGGCUAACUACGUG
rnacentral:rRNA from 1 species